rnacentral:misc_RNA from 1 species
GAUGAAGAACGUAGCGAAAUGCGAUAAGUAAUGUGAAUUGCAGAAUUCAGUGAAUCAUCGAGUCUUUGAACGCACAUUGCGCCCCCUGGUAUUCCGGGGGGCAUGCCUGUCCGAGCGUCAUUGCUGCCCUCAAGCACGGCUUGUGUGUUGGGCUCCGCCCCCCUCCCGGGGGGCGGGCCCGAAAGGCAGCGGCGGCACCGCGUCCGGUCCUCGAGCGUAUGGGGCUUUGUCACCCGCUCUGUAGGCCCGGCCGGCGCCCGCCGGCGACCCCAAUCAAUCUUUCCAGGUUGACCUCGGAUCAGGUAGGGAUACCCGCUGAACUUAAGCAUAUCAAUAACGGAGGA